rnacentral:tRNA from 1 species
GCCAGCGUAGCUCAACGGUAGAGCUCCCGCCUUGUAAGCGGGUGGUUGUCGGUCCGACUCCGACCGCUGGCU